rnacentral:lncRNA from 1 species
UUUUAUUCCAAAAAGGGAUUAACUUUCGACAACUUCGGACAACAACCUGCACAGAAAAAGAAGCCUAAAUCUACCUGGUUAAGCCACAGGACCAUUGUUAUACUUGCUGCAGUUGGAGGGUCCAUUUUGGUUAUGCUCAUUCUAAUAUUGUUACCAAUAACCGUGAGCUUCUGUGUCCGUCGAAGAAACAGAUCAUCAAGUAGUACGCAUCCUAGAGGAAGACACAACGGCGUUGGCCCAUUGCCUCCUGAUGAAACACUUCCCUCGGGAAGAGGAGUCUCUAUGAACUUUGCGAGUCUUGGAUCGUCAUUUACUUAUCAACAGCUGCGCAAUGCCACGAAGGAAUUUCGAGAUUCGAACCUGAUCAAGAAAGGAAAAUCGGGGGAUCUUUUCAAGGGCGUUCUAGAAACCGGAGUUCAGGUCGUUGUGAAAAGAAUCAGCUUGGAAUCGAUGAAGAACAACGAAGCGUACCUAACCGAGUUGGAUUUCUUCAGCCGGUUUGCUCAUCCGAGAAUUGUCCCAUUUGUAGGAAAGUACUUAGAGGACACAACCCAUAAGUUCUUGGUGUAUAAGUACAUGCCAAAUAGAGAUUUACCAAGCUCGUUGUUCUAUAAAUCCAAU